UACAAAAAAUACAAACGUUGCUCGGAAUCAUUGGGCGUAAAGCGCACGUAGACGGUUCGUUAUGUCGGAUAUGAAAGCCCUUGGCUUAACCGAGAAAAUGCAUCCGAAACUGGCGAGCUAGAGUACUAAAGAGGAUCGCGGAAUUCCCGGUGUAGAGGUGAAAUUCGUAGAUAUCGGGAGGAACACCGGUGGCGAAGGCGGCGAUCUGGGUAGAUACUGACGCUGAGAUGCGAAAGCGUGGAAAGCAAACAGG
rnacentral:rRNA from 1 species